CACCAAAAUUGAUCAAUAUGUCAAACAUUGAAACCCUAAAAGAAAAAGAAGAUGAUGAAAUCAAUCAAUUAGCCCAAUUAAUUUCAAUCCCAUCUGAAAUAGUACAAGAAAUCCUUUCAAGACUUCCCGUCAAUCCCAUACUCCAAUUCAGAUCAGUUUCAAAAUUUAGAUAUCAAAAAAGUCACCAAUUUGGAAGAUGCCCUCCACCUGUUUGAUCAAAUGACUGAGAGAAGGCCUCUUCCUUGUGUUGUGAAAUUCAAUCAGUUGUUGAAUUCCAUAACCAAAAUGAAACAUUUUUCACAUUCCAUUCAUCUCUUCAACCAUAUGUUUCAAAUUGGUGUUCCUGUUUGUGAAUAUUUCCAUCAAGCUCUUAGAGUAUACGAACCUCUUCAUUUGGCUAAUUUGUGCAAAGAAGACCUUGUGAAGUUAAACAAUACUGAGAUGAUAUCCAUGGGAUGUUAUUCAAGACUAGUUCAACAAUAUAAAUAUAUGGUGAAGUAUUUGUUGAAGCAUAAGAUGUAUGCUAGAUACUGAAGAUUGUUGAAGAUUAUAGACACCGCUGAAGAUUCUGAAGACGUCUGAAGAUUUCAAGAUGCUGAUGUCAAGUGGGAGUUUGUUGGUGCAUUUCCUAGUGACGACAGUGUCGAGAAUGUAGUUUUAUUUAUGUAAUAAAGUCAAACAUUAAGUUCUUGUAUGUAAUAAGUUAAGCUAGGAUUGCUCAAACUAGUGACAACAACAUCCGAGAAAUGUAGUUUUUAUGAUUCAAGCUAUUUAAAGAGAUGGUCUUUCAAAAACGAUGUCAUCACGUACACCUUUUUGAUUUUCCUGGUCUAUGUAAGCUAAGUCACUGGGUAAGACGGAAGAUGCAGAGAGUGUCAUCAUCAUCAUGGUUGAGAAGGUAAGUGGCCAAACAUAAUGACUUACAACUCACUUAUAGAUGGUUACUGUUUGCGAAGUGAGAUGACCAAAGCAAAGACAGUUUUUGAUGCUAUGGUGCUUAAAGGUAUAUCCUGCUCCAGCUGAUAGACAAAGGAUCAAGUCAUGUCUAUCGGGGUUGGGAGAAUUGAACAAUGCCUUUAAGAAAGCCUUAGUUGCUAGUUUAGAGCAGCUUGUAGGUACAGUCACACACUGAAUGCGACCCGUGUUAGACAGUGUUGCAACUGUUAGUUACGAGCUCGGAAGCUGAAUAUGCAGAAAACGAGGUAAACGAUCCAUGGGUCCAGACACUUCUUCGUCCUGUCGAGACCACCUCUGGAUGGCUCCAGCCUCCAAUGACUGCCAACUACUAUGACUCGUUUGUUCAUUUGGUGAUCGACUUUAUUGUAAAAAGGCUUGAACUUAUUAUGAUGCAAAAAAGAUUUAGUCAGCUUGGAGGCCUGCAGCUAGACCGAGAUGUGAGGGUUCUGGUUAGCCAUUUCUCAGGCAUGACCCAAAGGACUGUCAGGGAUAAGUUUGCCAGGUUAACCGAAAUGGCGACGAUACUUAACUUGGAGAAGGUGUCUGAGAUUUUGGAUUUCUGGGGUGAAAUUUUGGGACCCAGGACUUGGAGACUUACCCCGGCUGAAGUUAGGAGAGUGUUGGGUAUGAGGGUUGAUUUUAAACCAGAAGCCAUAGCAGCUCUUAAAUUGUGAAGUUAGAAGAGUUUUGUAUUGGUUUAUUUAUAUCUGAAAGCUACAUCACUGCUCUACUAUAUGAAAAGUCUAUAUGUUCAUUAACAACCGUUGUACUUAAUUCUUUGUUUCUUAACAACUAUACUUUCAUGAACAUAUAUAUCAUGAAAAGGUACAGUAUAAAA